GACGAACGCUGGCGGCGUGCUUAACACAUGCAAGUCGAGCGGUAAGGCCCUUUCGGGGGUACACGAGCGGCGAACGGGUGAAUAACACGUGGGUGACCUGCCCUCAGCUCUGGGAUAAGCCCGGGAAACUGGGUCUAAUACCGGAUAGGACACAUCGGCGCAUGUUGGUGUGUGGAAAGAUUCGGUUCGGCUGGGGAUGGGCCCGCGGCCUAUCAGCUUGUUGGUGGGGUGAUGGCCUACCAAGGCGGGGACGGGUAGCCGGCCUGGGAGGGCGACCGGCCACACUGGGACUGAGACACGGCCCAGACUCCUACGGGAGGCAGCAGUGGGGAAUAUUGCGCAAUGGGCGGAAGCCUGACGCAGCGACGCCGCGUGGGGGAUGACGGCCUUCGGGUUGUAAACCUCUUUCGCCAGGGACGAAGCUUUUGUGACGGUACCUGGAUAAGAAGCACCGGCCAACUACGUGCCAGCAGCCGCCGUAAAAC
rnacentral:rRNA from 1 species